ACUGAAACAGCCAUAAAAACAAUCUGCACAUUGGCAUUGAGGACACAGAUAAACUUGCAUAAAUCCCUUAUGGUGUCAGAGGGAUGCUUUGUAUGAGUCCUUAAUAGAUUAAUUAAUAGGUUAAUUAAGUUCUUGCUGUUUUCAUUUGGAAAUGAUACUGUCCUCUUGGGGCUAUUCAGAGAUGUUCAUGGUGAUGAAACGAGCUGGCCUGGAAUGGCAGUUCCCAGGUAGCAGAGCCUGGGCUUGAGGAAGGUGGAACGUGGGUGUGGCAAGGAGCUGGCAGGUGCAAAUGUCAGGCCAGCAAUGCAGUCCAGCCUGCACGGACGUGCGUCACCUAGGAAGUUGUGACCUGGCUGCAGUUUCCACUUCAGGCUACAGAGUGCGGUGGCGCCAGCACAGAGCUCUGCUCAACGUCCCUCUGUGCUUUCACGAUGCUGAUGGAUUAUGAAGUCCACAGACAGCAAGGGCAGUAUCACUGCAGUGGCAGUCGCAGAUGGACUUUCAGUCGCCUCUAGGAGCUCCACCCCACAGAAACACAGACAGCAGCCAGUGGAAAUGUUCAGCUGAGUGUGAGGUGCCUGCACUGUGGGCCCAAGCCAGGAGCCCUGCCUGGUGAAGAGUAGCAGAUGAGGAAGCGGAUGCAUAGCAAGUUUAAAUAGCUUGCAGAAGGACACACAGUUUGCAAGUGAAGGAGCUCAAAUUCAAAGACUGGCAGUCUGCAUCCAGAGUUGAUCAUCUUAAAUACCAUGCUGAACCGGUUGCUCUCAAAGUCUAAACAGUAUUUUUUACAAUAAGAUAUCCUUUUGUAGGUCAACGAAUAGUUUCUAAUUCUUUUUAAAAUAAAAUACAAUGAACUGAAUACAAUUUAAUGCAUCAGAGUAAAUUUUACAUAGCAAAGUAUGUAUUAUUUUCUUUCAGCUAUGCAAUUCCACUAGUAUGAGGUAUCUACUGUAGUGAAACUCACAGAAACAGAAAG
rnacentral:lncRNA from 10 species